GUAGGUGAACCUGCGGAAGGAUCAUUAUCACGUAUCCACGUAUAAACCAUUUGUGAACUGUUCUGCCUCUAGAGUAGGUGAGCCAGUGUGUAUCGAACAUUUAAGCAGUUUUUUCUUGAAGUGAUUAAAAACUGUGUUCGGUAUGCCACAGUCGUUUUAUCUCCGGAUUGCGAUUGUACUCGCCUAUUUUAGAGUGUAUUUUCUUAAUCACUUUCACUAUUAACCAUUAUAACCCAUCUUUAUAACUUUUUUGAACUAAUCUAAUUUCUUACUCUCCGGAGAAGAAAUUCAUUACGAAACAAAGAACAACUCUUAGCAACGGAUAUCUUGGUUCUC
rnacentral:misc_RNA from 1 species